CAUAUUAAAGUUUAGUUAUGAAUUCUUCUUUUACAUUGAUGGGGCCUUAUAUAUGAAGUAAUAUGA
rnacentral:tRNA from 1 species